rnacentral:rRNA from 1 species
GGUUAAGCGACUAAGCGUACACGGUGGAUGCCCUGGCAGUCAGAGGCGAUGAAGGACGUGCUAAUCUGCGAUAAGCGUCGGUAAGGUGAUAUGAACCGUUAUAACCGGCGAUUUCCGAAUGGGGAAACCCAGUGUGAUUCGUCACACUAUCAUUAACUGAAUCCAUAGGUUAAUGAGGCGAACCGGGGGAACUGAAACAUCUAAGUACCCCGAGGAAAAGAAAUCAACCGAGAUUCCCCCAGUAGCGGCGAGCGAACGGGGAGCAGCCCAGAGCCUGAAUCAGUGUGUGUGUUAGUGGAAGCGUCUGGAAAGGCGUGCGAUACAGGGUGACAGCCCCGUACACAAAAAUGCACAUAUUGUGAGCUCGAUGAGUAGGGCGGGACACGUGGUAUCCUGUCUGAAUAUGGGGGGACCAUCCUCCAAGGCUAAAUACUCCUGACUGACCGAUAGUGAACC